AUGCACGCUGGCGGCGUGCUUAACACCUGCCAGUCGCACGAAGCACUUUAUUUGAUUUCCUUCGGGACUGAUUAUUUUGUGACUGAGUGGCGGACGGGUGAGUAACGCGUGGGUAACCUGCCUUGUACAGGGGGAUAACAGUUGGAAACGGCUGCUAAUACCGCCUAAGCGCACAGCAUCGCAUGAUGCAGUUUGAAAAACUCCGGUGGUAUAAGAUGGACCCGCGUUGGAUUAGCUAGUUGGUGAGGUAACGGCCCACCAAGGCGACGAUCCAUAGCCGACCUGAGAGGGUGACCGGCCACAUUGGGACUGAGACACGGCCCAAACUCCUACGGGAGGCAGCAGUGGGGAAUAUUGCACAAUGGGCGAAAGCCUGAUGCAGCGACGCCGCGUGAGCGAAGAAGUAUUUCGGUAUGUAAAGCUCUAUCAGCAGGGAAGAUAAUGACGGUACCUGACGAAGAAGCACCGGCUAAAUACGUG
rnacentral:rRNA from 1 species